rnacentral:misc_RNA from 1 species
GAUGAAGAACGUAGCGAAAUGCGACAAGUAAUGUGAAUUGCAGAAUUCAGUGAAUCAUCGAAUCUUUGAACGCACCUUGCACUCCUUGGUAUUCCGAGGAGUACGCCUGUUCGAGUGUUAUGAAGCUCUCAAAACGCAAUUGGCUUAAAACCUGAUUGUUGUUUUGGAUUUGAACUUUGCCGUGUUAUAACGGCUGGUUUUAAAAGUAUUAGCUGGUACUAGAACGAAUUGGUUCUACUCAACGUGAUAAUUAUCUGAUCGUUGAGGACAUUCCUUUCACGAGGAAUGGCCAUAGUAAAUUCAAUGGACUGCUUCUAAUCUGGCUUUAAUUCUUUAUUGGAUUAACCACUUUUCAAAUCUGACCUCGAAUCAGGUGGGACUACCCGCUGAACUUAAGCAUAUCAAUAAGCGGAGGA